rnacentral:lncRNA from 1 species
GGUGAGACUUAUCAACCAGGCUGGCAGACAGUCAGAUGCCGAAACUGCUAUUCUGGGGGCUCAAAACUGCUUACUCUUCCUGUGGACCAGGUCACUUGAAGACGCUCAGUGUGGUGUUAUCCUGUUUCCUAAUGCAAGGCGGCAGCGAGCCCUAGAUUCCAAGCAGCCAUAUGACCUCAAGGGAGAACAGUCAACCUCAGCAAUAUCACUCGGGGAGGCAAAGCAGUCCAUCGGUCACACUGACAACUAGCUGUUAUGCCCUGCCUGCUCUGAUGUGUCUCCACCUUGUAAACAUACAAGCUUGGGGAGAACGGACGGGGUGAGCAACGGACACAUAUCAUCCUGUAAACUGAGGACAGGAUCCAGCGCGUGACUGAGAAACUCCACAUUUGCUGUACUCUUGAGCCACGCUGCGGGUCCCCAAUGUCCUUGCUCGCCACUCCACAGGACCUGUCUAUCCUGGUACAGUUGAGAGAUGCCCGAGAAAGGGCCUUUUAAGGAACUGCCAUGGAAGAAUCAAUUCCCUUGCAGGUGGAAGGUGGAAGAUGGAAGGAGGGAAACCAGAAGCAGGAACCUGAGCAAGUGACGACAUUUUCUUGUGGUUCUGAGGCCAGUGGGGGUGGAGGUUGCUUAUCGUUUUCUUGAAACAGUUAUAAAAAUUGUCAUGGCUAAAAGAAAUAGGAAGAGACACAGAGUAAACUUUUCUUUAUGCA